GUGCUUGCUUCAGCAGCACAUACACUAAAAUUGGAAUAAGAAGAUUAGCGUUGCUCCUGUGCAAGGAUGGCACACAAAUUUACGAAGUGUUCUUUUUUUUU
rnacentral:snRNA from 1 species